rnacentral:lncRNA from 1 species
CACAAUUAGACAAGUACAAUUCUACUUUCUAACAUCCACACAAUUCAUUAAUUCAGCAGGACUUUGUUGACCAUACAUUAUGAGGGAAAUAUUUAAUACUAUUUGGAGACUGAUAUAUUUUCCUCUUAUCUAGAGUAAAAUAAAUUAUAAGAAGUGAUGAAAACAACCAUUUAAUUAGACUUAAGAACCAUGUUUACCAGAGAUGUUUCCCAAGAUGGACAACAGACUGACCAUGUUGAUUCAGAACUAAGUACUAAUAAAAAGGAGUUUAAUAAGAAGUCUAAUAGAAAUCAAAUUGUAUUUAUCAACUUUAAUUCUAUUUUAAUGCACGAGUCCUAACAGCCAAACGACUAAUAUGCUGACAUUUCUUAAUUCAUUUUUUCUGACUGUGCUCCCAAAAGGUGUGUGAAAAUGCAGUUUAUAAAUUAA